CGUGGGCCCAGCGUUGGCUGCACCAUUCCCUUUAAUGAAAGAGUAUUUGGUUCCUAAAGGAAGAUUCACUUUCUUAUUUCUUGUUUCGUAUUUUAGGGUCUUUAUGUUAUUCCCUUUCCAUAACAGUGUCUUUUAUCACUAUUGGGGUUUUCAGAAAGGAAAUACAAUGUAGAUGGAAGUGAGGCGACUGCACAAGGGAAGGCACUUGGAAACAGACCACAGUGCUGUGGAAGAGAUAUCU
rnacentral:lncRNA from 1 species